rnacentral:rRNA from 1 species
CUACGGGGUGCACCAGUGGGGAAUAUUGGACAAUGGGCGAAAGCCUGAUCCAGCAAUGCCGCGUGAGUGAUGAAGGCCUUAGGGUUGUAAAGCUCUUUUACCAGGGAUGAUAAUGACAGUACCUGGAGAAUAAGCUCCGGCUAACUCCGUGCCAGCAGCCGCGGUAAUACGGAGGGAGCUAGCGUUGUUCGGAAUUACUGGGCGUAAAGCGCACGUAGGCGGCGCCGUAAGUCAGGGGUGAAAUCCCGGGGCUCAACCCCGGAACUGCCCUUGAAACUGCAGUGCUAGAAUCUUGGAGAGGCGAGUGGAAUUCCGAGUGUAGAGGUGAAAUUCGUAGAUAUUCGGAAGAACACCAGUGGCGAAGGCGACUCGCUGGACAAGUAUUGACGCUGAGGUGCGAAAGCGUGGGGAGCAAACAGGAUUAGAUACCCUUGUAGUC